rnacentral:rRNA from 1 species
AGAGCGAACGCUGGCGGCAGGCCUAACACAUGCAAGUCGAGCGCCCCGCAAGGGGAGCGGCAGACGGGAGAGUAACACGUGGGAACGUACCCUUCAGUUCGGAACAACCCAGGGAAACUUGGGCUAAUACCGGAUACGUCCGUAAGGAGAAAGAUUUAUCGCUGAAGGAUCGGCCCGCGUCUGAUUAGCUAGUUGGUGGGGUAACGGCUCACCAAGGCGACGAUCAGUAGCUGGUCUGAGAGGAUGAUCAGCCUCACUGGGACUGAGACACGGCCCAGACUCCUACGGGAGGCAGCAGUGGGGAAUAUUGGACAAUGGGCGCAAGCCUGAUCCAGCCAUGCCGCGUGGGUGAUGAAGGCCCUAGGGUUGUAAAGCCCUUUCGGCGGGGAAGAGUAAUGACGGUACCCGCAGAAGAACGCCCCGGACUAACUUCGCGCCAGCAGCCGC